CCUACGGGUGGCUGCAGUGGGGAAUAUUGGACAAUGGGCGAAAGCCUGAUCCAGCAAUGCCGCGUGAGUGAUGAAGGCCUUAGGGUUGUAAAGCUCUUUUACCCGGGAUGAUAAUGACAGUACCGGGAGAAUAAGCUCCGGCUAACUCCGUGCCAGCAGCCGCGGUAAUACGGAGGGAGCUAGCGUUAUUCGGAAUUACUGGGCGUAAAGCGCACGUAGGCGGCUUUGUAAGUAAGAGGUGAAAGCCCAGAGCUCAACUCUGGAAUUGCCUUUUAGACUGCAUCGCUUGAAUCAUGGAGAGGUCAGUGGAAUUCCGAGUGUAGAGGUGAAAUUCGUAGAUAUUCGGAAGAACACCAGUGGCGAAGGCGGCUGACUGGACAUGUAUUGACGCUGAGGUGCGAAAGCGUGGGGAGCAAACAGGAUUAGAUACCCCAGUAGUC
rnacentral:rRNA from 1 species